rnacentral:rRNA from 1 species
GUGGCGAACGGGUGAGUAAUAUCUCGGAACCUACCCUAGAGUGGGGGAUAACGUACCGAAAGUUACGCUAAUACCGCAUACGAUCUAAGGAUGAAAGUGGGGGAUCGCAAGACCUCAUGCUCGUGGAGCGGCCGAUAUCUGAUUAGCUAGUUGGUAGGGUAAAAGCCUACCAAGGCAUCGAUCAGUAGCUGGUCUGAGAGGACGACCAGCCACACUGGAACUGAGACACGGUCCAGACUCCUACGGGAGGCAGCAGUGGGGAAUUUUGGACAAUGGGCGAAAGCCUGAUCCAGCAAUGCCGCGUGAGUGAAGAAGGCCUUCGGAUUGUAAAGCUCUUUUGUCAGGGAAGAAACGGUGAGAGCUAAUAUCUUUUGCUAAUGACGGUACCUGAAGAAUAAGCACCGGCUAACUACGUGCCAGCAGCCGCGGUAAUACGUAGGGUGCAAGCGUUAAUCGGAAUUACUGGGCGUAAAGCGUGCGCAGGCGGUUUUGUAAGUCUGAUGUGAAAUCCCCGGGCUCAACCUGGGAAUUGCAUUGGAGACUGCAAGGCUAGAAUCUGGCAGAGGGGGGUAGAAUUCCACGUGUAGCAGUGAAAUGCGUAGAUAUGUGGAGGAACACCGAUGGCGAAGGCANCCCCCUGGGUCAAGAUUGACGCUCAUGCACGAAAGCGUGGGGAGCAAACAGGAUUAGAUACCCUGGUAGUCCACGCCCUAAACGAUGUCUACUAGUUGUCGGGUCUUAAUUGACUUGGUAACGCAGCUAACGCGUGAAGUAGACCGCCUGGGGAGUACGGUCGCAAGAUUAAAACUCAAAGGAAUUGACGGGGACCCGCACAAGCGGUGGAUGAUGUGGAUUAAUUCGAUGCAACGCGAAAAACCUUACCUACCCUUGACAUGGCUGGAAUCCUUGAGAGAUCAGGGAGUGCUCGAAAGAGAGCCAGUACACAGGUGCUGCAUGGCAGUUGUCANCUCGUGUCGUGAGAUGUUGGGUUAAGUCCCGCACCGAGCGCAACCCUUGUCAUUAGCUGGUAAGAAAGGGCACUCUAAUGAGACUGCCGGUGACAAACCGGAGGAAGGUGGGGAUGACGUCAAGUCCUCAUGGCCCUUAUGGGUAGGGCUUCACACGUCAUACAAUGGUACAUACAGAGCGCCGCCAACCCGCGAGGGGGAGCUAAUCGCAGAAAGUGUAUCGUAGUCCGGAUUGUAGUCUGCAACUCGACUGCAUGAAGUUGGAAUCGCUAGUAAUCGCGGAUCAGCAUGUCGCGGUGAAUACGUUCCCGGGUCUUGUACACACCGCCCGUCACA